GUUAUACUCCCUCCGUCCCAUUUAAAGUGUUGAAUUAUUACAUGUAUCUAAACACGUUUUAGGUAUAGAUACAUGCAUAUUUGGGCAAAUGAGAUACUUAAUAUGGGAUGGAGGGAGUAUAUA
rnacentral:pre_miRNA from 1 species